rnacentral:sRNA from 1 species
AGAAGACAAAAAAAAUUCGACGAAGUGUCAUGUUUCUGUUGUGGUCUAAAUUAAUACUCUAGAAGGCGCAAAUUGUGCAUAAAGCAAAGGCGUUAUAUUGCUGAUAAAGGAAGAAAAUGACGUUACAUAAAAUAUAAAAUUAUUAUAGAAUUUAGAUUACCGAAAUUCAUUUUGGAACUGUCAGUUUCUUUUUUAUUCUAAAAUUUAAAACUAAUUAUUCUCAAACUAGUUUUUUGCUAAGAAUGUAAAUAUUUCAUUAAAAAUGAAAAGUUAUUAGAAGUUACACAAGAUAGAUCCUAAAGUUUGGUCCCAUGGCAAAAAAGGAUAAAAAACAUGGAAACAAAAACAAUCAGUCUAUCGACAAAAUCAGUAAUUUCGGAAUCAAUAAAGUGAUAAAACGAUUUUGAAGUAUCCAAAGUGAUGACACCUCAAAGGAGUAGCUUUAUGCUUCCUUCGUUUUCACAUUAUCGUCAUCAAGUUACUACAACUUCUUCCACUGU